rnacentral:lncRNA from 1 species
GCCGGCGGGCUGGGCUGCGCGAUGCCUCUAAUGGAGGAGUUUCUGAGCAGCACCCCUGGCCCAGUGGCUUUGAAAGGGAGCUCAAACCAGAGACUAUUUCAAGCCCUGGAUAUCAUAUCCUGAGGGCCACAGGAGAAGAGAACAUGGCUGUGAGUUUGGAUGACGACGUGCCGCUCAUCCUGACCUUGGAUGAGGGUGGCAGUGCCCCACUGGCUCCCUCCAACG